UACAGAGGGGGCAAGCGUUGUUCGGAAUUACUGGGCGUAAAGGGCGCGUAGGUGGCCUUCUAAGUUGAACGUGAAAUCCCUGGGCUCAACCCAGGAACUGCGUCCAAGACUGGGAGGCUUGAAUCCGGGAGAGGGAUGCGGAAUUCCAGGUGUAGCGGUGAAAUGCGUAGAUAUCUGGAGGAACACCGGUGGCGAAGGCGGCAUCCUGGACCAAUAUUGACGCUGAGGAGCGAAAGCCAGGGGAGCAAACGGGG
rnacentral:rRNA from 1 species